ACACUGAUAGCUCAGUGGUAGAGCGGUGGGGCGUUGACCCACGCUGCCCGGUUUCCAACCCCGGUCGAUGCG